rnacentral:pre_miRNA from 1 species
GCUGUACUCCCUCCGUCCGAAAAUACUUGUUAUCAAAAUGGACAAAAAGGGAUGUAUCUAGAACUAAAAUACAUCUAGAUACAUCCCCUUUUAUUCAUUUUGAUGACAAGUAUUUCCGGACGGAGGGAGUAUUAA